UAAAAUUUGAAGUGGAUUGUAAAAAUAUGAAUGAAUAUGUAAAGUAAUAUUUAGGAAAUAUAUUUUAGGGAACUAAUACGAUUGAAGAACAAAACGUAAUUUUGGAGGAAGUACCUACCUCGAACUAGAUGUAUUGAAAUGUAGAAGAAAUUAUAUAGAUAUGAUAAGCAACAUAUUUACUAAAAUUUUAUUAUAAUACAGUGAUAUGUUUGAUUUAUUUGUGAAAUAAUAAAUGUGUGCACUGUUUGUCAAAGCUUAGGCGUAGUUACAUAAUAUGAAUGAUAGCGUAUUUAUUAAAUUGCAUUUGGUGGUAAGCGUUGGUCAAGUUUGUGUAGUAAUUUGAUGUGAAAUUUUAGGAUUAUCACAAGAAAAUGGUGAAGUCCCCAAUGAUAAUUUCAAUGAAGGUAUAUAGGUCUAAAUUUAUAUCUAGAAGAAGCAAUAUGCAAUAAAUUAUUAAUAUAUGCGUGAAGUGGCGUGAAUAAUUAUAAAUGGAAUUUUUAAAAAUAUGGUAACUAUAGACAGCGUUCUUUUAUUUGUUUAUGCCUUUUAGAGUGAGACGAUUUGACUGGCGAUAUUAUUUAUUAAAAUGGCUUAUAGUCUAUAAGAAUAUACUGCAAGGUUUAGUGAACUUUAAUAAAUAUUAGAAUAUGCGAGUUGUUAAUAUUAUUAUUUGACGAUUCUCAACUUAUAAAAUUUCUUUUUAAUUUUUCUUAUGACUUAAUGAGAGUUUACAAAAAUAAACGUUGUGGCGAAGAAUAUUACAGCUGUUACUGAUUAACUAAAAUAUCAACGUAAUUGUUUAAAAACAAUAAUUGAAAUACAUAUGGUAUGAAAGUAGCGUAAAACUAUAGAAAAAUGUGUAUAGAUGACAAAUAGUUGGUUAGAGAGAACGGAGAAUUAAAUCAUAAUUAAUUUGUAUUCAAAAACAUACUGAGUAUGUGUGCCAGUAUACAAUUUCGCAAAGGCAAAUCUGGAUAUAUAUAGGUAUAAAUAAAUACAAAAUAAACAGUGUCACAGACCAAAGUAUAAGUAUACAACCCAAAGUACAUACAAAGCAAAAUACAUAAAAACAGUGUAAUAGUUGUAAAUAAUAAAAAAACAAAAAUUUAUUUCCAAUAAGUUAGUUGUAACAAAAAAACGGUAGCUGUAGAUACAGACAGGAAGUGAUAGGAUAGGAUAGAAAGUUAAUUAUGAUACAUAAAAAGUAUUCAAAAUUAUUUAAAAAUAUAUCGAGAUCACAAAAUAAAUAGGAAGAUGUCUAAUAAAGAGCGAUAUAGUAUAAUGAUUGAUCGAUCCUAUAUUUUAUUAAAAAACAUGUAAUCCUGAAAGUAAUAUAUAUCUAAUAUUUCAAAAAUAUAUUUGUAAGAAGUAGUAAAAAAAUGGCAAUAGAUUGUUAGUAAAAUAGAAAAUUAAAACUACUUGUUUAAUUUAAAGUUAAAGUUAAAUAUAGGCUAAAAGAAAACGAAUUGAAAAAAGAAAAAUAAUUAUUGUAGAAACAAAUGUGUAAUUUUGGAGGUAACAUUUUGUUCAUACGGAAACGUAAUGUGGAAAAAUGUAUAUAAAUAUGUGAUUGGUUUGAUUUAGAUGGGUCUUCAUUAACGUGCUCGUGAAGAGUUUAUUAUUUGGCAAAAAAUAUAAAUAAUAUAUCUUAAAUUAAUGUAUUUGAUAGUAAGCACUGUUCAAACAGUAAGCACUGUUCAAACUUGAAAAAUGAUGUGAAAAUCGAGAAAAUGGCGAAGUCGCCAAUGCUAAAUUUAAGCCUUGAAGAAAAUUAUUUUAAGUCCAGUCGAGUUUUAAGUUUAUUAAAUUUAAAGUUGUCUGAAGUUUUUUAUAUAUAUUUUAAUAGUUCUAAACUACAUCUGCAUUAAGAUCAAGAUAUGAAAUAAUUAAAUAAUCAUUAUAAGUAAGUAAUAAUAAUUUUUAUACUUAAUAUCAAAUAGGUAUGGACAUUAGUAUUGCAAAAAAUUUUGUUUACGUUUUCAAUCAUGAAUUACAAGUUUUUAAUAAUGAUUUUUAAAAGGAUGAAAGGUAAAUUAUUACAAUUUCAAAAUAAUAAUUUUCCGAAACAAAAGUAACUAUAAAAUGGUAGCGUUAUAAUAAUCCCUUUUUUAUUUAUAAAAUGAAACCGUUCAGUUAUUGAAUUUUUUUCUUAAAAUAGCAUAUAGCCUAAAAUAUAUAUCUCCGUAAAUUUUGGCAAAUACGGAAAAUUGGAAUUGCAGUAAUAUUUGUUUGAGUAAAAUUGUUGAAUAAAAAUAUUUAGGUUAUGAAUCUCUUUAGCGAAGAUUAUAUUUCAAUUGUUAUUGAUUGACCAAAACAUGUAUGUAUAUGUAAAAUGUAGUAAAGUGUUAAUAUGUGUAAUGUCGAAUGUAUAAUAGUGUGUUGUAUCAAAAACAAGUAAUUACAAUGAAAAACAAAGACAGAAGUAAUGAAUUGAAUACGAAUGCUCCAAUAAGCUGGAUGAGGUAAUAUGUGAUGAUGUGCUUGUAGCAAUAUAUAAAGUUAUUAUAAGAAUUUUUUUAAUGCGUAUAAAGUUACGUGAUUCAGGGAUCCGAUAAGUGAUAUGUGACAAUUUACAUGAAAAAUAAUAAGUGAAAAUAAACCAUCUUCGCGUGAAGUUUAAAAGUAAUGUAUUGUAAGUAGUUGUUUCCAAUAAUGUGAAUAAAGUUUUUAUAACUAAAUAAAUGAGCGAUAAUUAAAAACCAUAAAAAAUAUAAUGAGUGAAUAUAGCGUCAAAGGCAAAUAAAAAGUAAGAAGAUAGGAUUAAAGAAAUGAAAUAAUAUCAAGGGUUGUCCCUAAUAACAUAAUAAGGUAAUUGCAACAAACGAAUAGAAACGUAGGAAAAAGAGUUGAGUAAUAUACAUGUAAAGUAAUAGGUAAUAACAGUUAAGGUACAAGAGGUAUUGAGACGCGUAAGGAAAUAGAAAAACCUAAAUUGUAGAAUACGUGGAAGAUAUAAGGUAAACGUAGCGUCAAGAAAUGAAAACAUGAAUAGUGUAGUACGAAUAGUAAAUAUAAUGACAAAAUAUUUUUCAUAUAAUAAUACACAAAUAAAAAGUAAUUAUAAACAAGGAAAAUAAAAAUCUCAUGUAUGCAUAAGGUGCAAAAAUUUAUUAAACGCAUAUACAAAAAUACGAAAAUCAACAUAAGAGGUCAUUCGCAUUAAUGUAAUAUGGUAAAGGAAUAAAAUUAUUUAAAAUAUGUAGUGGUCAAAAUAGUGUAAUAAUAUAAAAACUAUUCGAUAUAAUAAAGGGUAAUUUUAAUUAAAUAAAAUAGAAACCACAUUUAGGUAAAUAACAUUCGCGGUAGUAAAGUACUAAAAAUUAUAAAAGUAUGAAAAUAAACAUAUGACUUGUAGGUGAAGCAACAACCAACAGAUAAACGGUUAUAUUUAGGUAAAGUUUUGAAAACAAAAGAUUAACGAUAAACGGAGCAUCGAAUCAAUGAAAUAAAAUAAAAACAAGCAAAUAUAACACAUAAGUGAUAACAGUUCAAGAUCAAAAGGUAUUAAGAGGUAUACAGAAAAAUUGGAAGAAAGAAAACAUACAAUUUGUAGGUAAAACGAAUAAGUUGAUGGUAGCGUCGAAAACCAAAAAAUAUUAAAAAUUUGUAGAAGAAACACAAUUAAACAAAAGCAUGCGCAUACUUAAAAAAAAUAAACUAAUAAUAUAUAGUUUGAAGUGGUGAUAUAAAAAUAAGGCAGUAAGAAAUAAAUAAACGAUGUUUAUAGACGACGAAAAUAUAAAGUAGGUACGUAAUUACGGCAAAGGACAUAUAAUAAUUACAAGUAAGUGCAAAAGGUUUUAGAAAUUUAUAAAUAUAGAAAAUAAGGUUAAAAUACAGCAUAAAAUGUUUAGGUAAAAGGUAAGAUGAACGUAAAUAUAGGGAAGGUUAAAAAUGUGAUAUAUUUUUCACUAACAUAAUAAGAUAGUUGUAACAUGCAAAUAAACAAUAAUUAUAGACAAAUCAUGCACAUUACGUAAAGUGAAGUCGUAGUAGUUGAGGUGCGAAAGGUAUUAAAAAAGGGUGAAAUAUGUAUUAUACAACACUAAAUGUAAAUAUAUAAAAACUAUUGUAUGAAGGUUUAUAAGAAGUUAUUCCCGUAAUGCAGCAGGUAUUUAGGAGACAAAUAAAUGAUAAUACGUAUAAAUAACAGAAAAGCAAAUUAUUUAUAAAUAGUUUUAACAGUUUAAUGAACAAAAAAGGUAUUAAAAAUAUGUCGAUGAAUUUACAAAAUACCGUGAAAUUAAGAAAAACUAAUUUGAUCUUUGCGGAUGUAAGGAAGAAAUAUGUAAUAUCGAUGGUAAAAAUUACUAAGUAAUGUAGGUAAUAAGUCGCUUCUGUUAAUAUAAUAAGAUAGUUGGUUGUUACCAACUAUCUUAUUAUAUCUUGUUUGUUAACAAGUAAAAUCAGAACAGCGAAAGUACAAAAAUGUUAUCAAUGUACAAGAAAAUUAGAAAAUAAGAAAAUGUGUGCGUGAAUAAGAAAGGCUUUUAAGAAGCCGUUUCCACGAAUGUGGCCAAGGUAUUUGUAAGUAAUGGCACAUUAAUGGUAUGCGUAACAGACGGUAAUUAGGUACAGAUAACAAAAAUGCAAAAAGUAAAGUUAUUGUUGGUUAAGGUACAAAGAUAAUUCUAUUAAAGAAAAAUUCACAAGCGAGAAAUGAAGAAAGGAAUAAUUCAAAUGUCGAGUCAAAAACAGAGUAUAGUGUUAAAAAUUAUAAAAUAAGUAAUAAGUAAAUGAUAAUCAUACAUAUAAUACAAUAAUUAAUACACAUUUAAUUAAAAUUAUAAUGGCGAAGGUACAAAAAGAUUUACAGUAUCCAGGAAAAUUAGAAAAUAAACAAGGUGCGUGGGUGAAACGAAGGCUAUUUAUGUAUGUAUAUAGGUAAUAACAAAGAAUGGUAUUUAUUAGUAACUAAUGUAUAAAAGAUGAUGAAAAUAUAACCAAAACAGUACGCAAGAAAUAUUACAUGUAUAAUCAAAACAAUCAAUUUAGAGAAAGACAUAAUAACGCCAAAUAGUAAGUCUAUAAAAAUAUAAAAUGAACUAAACUAGUCGUACUAUAAAAAGUGUGGGUAAGAAGAAUGUAUAUGCAUGAUCAUGGAGCGGAUAGGUAUAAUAAAUAAUAAAAGCUAGAUAUAAAAUAAUAAUUUAUAAAUAAAUACAUACGAAAUGACUAUAUAUUAGGUAUUAAGAAGGUUACACGAAAUAAACAAAUGGUGUUUUAUUUAAACGAAUAUUCCCGAAAACUAAAGUUAAUGUAAAAGUGGUGGGGGGAGGGCACACAUAAUAUUACAAAACUUUUUUUAUAUAAUCCUAUACAGUAAUAAUAUAAAAUUUUAAUACAUUCAAAUCUGUAACAAAACUGAAAAAUAAAAGUAAAUGUAACGGUCAAUACGUGAAAAAUUAAGUUUGGUAUUUUAUUAUAUAUAUUUUCAGGUAUUGGUAUUUUUUAUGUAUAUUUUCGGGUAAACUGAAACGCAACAACAUACUACAGCAAACAAAAAUGGUAAAAAAAUUGAAAGAUUCUACAAGUGAACAUUUUUAAAGGGUAAUACCUAUGUAUAAGCAGAAAUGAGGAAUGAAGAAACUUAUAUGUAAUGAAUAAAUCAAAGAAUGUCGGCAAAAUAUACAGGUACAAAGGGUAAUAAAGACAUACAUAAAAAUUAGAAAAUAAACAUAAGGUAUAGGUGAAAGUGAAUAGUAUAUGUAAUCAUAUGAACCUAGCGUCGAAGGUAAACGAAAUGUAUAAUAUGAGGAUUUUAAAAAAUUAAAUGAGAAAUGAAGAAUAAAGAAACUUAUAUGUAAUGAAUAAAUCAAAGAGUUAACAGUAACAAUGCCGGCAAAACAUACAGGUACAAAGGGUAAUAAAGACAUACAUAAAAAUUAGAAAAUAAACAUAAGGUAUAGGUGAAAGUGAAUAGUAUAUGUAAUCAUAUGAACCUAGCGUCGAAGGUAAACGAAAAGUAUAAUACGAAGAUUUAAAAACAUGAAUGAAUAUGAAGAAUAAAGAAACAUAUGUAAUGAAUAAAUCAAAGACAUACAUACAAAUUUGAAAAUAAAUGAAAAUAAACGUAAGAUAUAGGUGAAAGUGAAUAGUAUAUUCAGGUGAAUCUAGCGUCGAAGGUAAACGAAAAAUUUUAUGAUUUAAAAAAAAAUGAAAUGAGAAAUGAAGAAUAAAGAAACUUAUAUGUAAGGAAUAAAUUAAAGAAUAACAAUGUCGACAAAAUAUAUAGUUACAAAGGAUAAUAAAGGCAUACAUAAAAAUUAGAAAAUAAACAUAAGGUAUAGGUGAAAAUGAAUAGUAUAUACAGGUGAACCUAGCGUCGAAGGUAAACGAAAUGUAUAAUAUGAAGAUUUUAAAAAAGGGGGUAGCUGCAAUAAACAAAUAAAGGUAGACAAGCACACAACAAUAAAGCAAAUCGCAUAUGUGAAAAGUAAUAAAGCAAAGUUACAAGAGGUAUAGAAAAUAGAAAACGGAAAAAAAUAGAAAAAAGAAGCAUAAAUUGUGGAAGAAUUGAUGGGAAAAA